rnacentral:rRNA from 1 species
UACGUAGGGGGCGAGCGUUGUCCGGAUUCAUUGGGCGUAAAGAGCUCGUAGGCGGCUUGGCAAGUCGGGUGUGAAAACUUCAGGCUCAACCUGGAGCGGCCACUCGAUACUGCCAUGGCUUGAGUCCGGUAGGGGAACACGGAAUUCCUGGUGUAGCGGUGAAAUGCGCAGAUAUCAGGAGGAACACCGGUGGCGAAGGCGGUGGUCUGGGCCGGAACUGACGCUGAGGAGCGAAAGCGUGGGGAGCGAACAGG